UGCCAGUUCUCGAGGGACGCUUCUGUGGCCGAGGCAUGGCUGAUUGCCCAGGAGCCCUACCUGGCCAGCCGGGACUUUGGACAUACGGUGGACAGCGUGGAAAAGCUCAUCAAGAGGCAUGAGGCUUUUGAGAAGUCCACAGCCAGCUGGGCAGAGCGCUUUGCUGCCCUGGAGAAGCCCACCACGCUUGAGCUUAAGGAACGCCAGACUCCAGACAGACCCACAGAGGAACCUGGGUGAGUGUCAGCCCUGCGUCCCAUGUACAAGGAGCCAAGCAUGUUGUAAAGGGUGAUUGGGGAGGAGGGAAAGGAAGCCGCUAAUCAACACCUGUCGUGUGAACAAAAGAACCUUUGGCCUCUCCUGGGUGCCCUGUCAGCACAACCCAGAAUGUACAGAGCUCUGUUGCAGCAGACACAGAAGCCUGAAGCCCAAUACAGGAAGGAAGGGUUAGCUAACAGUGCCUGUUGCUAAGUCAACCUUUCCCUUCGGAACUCCCAGACGCUGCCCUUAGACUGCCUCAUAUGGAAUUCAUCCAUUUCUGACGUGUCUGAGCAUCUCUGGGAUGGAGAGCCAACGAUUAUGUCCUGUGCAUGUUCUGUGCUCCCAGUGGGUGGAAAGCCAGGAAGAGCCAGGCCUUGCAGAGAGGCACCUGUCACUAAAGAGAGAUUGU
rnacentral:lncRNA from 1 species